UACGGAGGGGGCUAGCGUUGUUCGGAAUUACUGGGCGUAAAGCGCACGUAGGCGGAUGCACAAGUUGGGGGUGAAAGCCCAGGGCUUAACCCUGGAACUGCCUUCAAGACUGUGCGUCUUGAGUUCGAGAGAGGUAAGGGGAAUUCCUAGUGUAGAGGUGAAAUUCGUAGAUAUUAGGAAGAACACCGGUGGCGAAGGCGCCUUACUGGCUCGAUACUGACGCUGAGGUGCGAAAGCGUGGGGAGCAAAC
rnacentral:rRNA from 1 species